UCCAGGAGACAGUGAUGGACAGGGAGGCCUGGCGUGCUGCAGUCCAUGGUGUUGCAAAGAGUCAGACAGGAAUGGGCGAGUGAACAACAGCACUGGUCCAGGCACCAGUGAUUGGCAAGGGAGGAUCCAGACUUACCCUGACAGUCCUGCCAGCCCACAGGGAUGCCUGAUGUUUUGGGCAUGGGAGGCCCAUGCUGAAUCCUGAACAGCGUAGAUGGGGAGACAGGAUGCCCCAGGGCAGGGGUGGCUGCUGUGCCUCACUCAGCCCUCUGGAGAUCCCUCUGAAGGCUCACCGAGCAGUGGGGAGAGGGCUUUGAUAGACAGUCAGGGAGCUGAACCAGACUGACACCCCGCUCUUCCGAGUGCAGGACUUCCUGAGCAGUUGUUUUCAAGUUUGUUUGAAAAAGUAAUCCUGCUGGGAGCUGAGCAUCAGGAACAUAUGGUCCAUGCAGACGUGGAGUCCCAGCGGGUGCGGGGCUCCCAGAGAGACCGAGGCCAGUCCAGGUUGACAUUUCACUACCACCACUUUACAUCUGAUCACUCGACCGUGUUUCUGCUCCUUUCCUCAGCUGAACCUUCAACACAAAUAGCGGCCAAUACCAACCAGGUGCUCAACGAAGGACCAGAUAUUGGGCUAAGCACCUUGUCAGCAUCAGUAACCCACUCCUCACAGCCACCCAGUGAUGUGGGCACGGAAGUCAUUCACCAGGCAAGUCUGCACCCGAUGUACACUGGGUAUUCGCUGCAGUUUGUGCUUCUUACCAUCAAAAGAGGACAAUGAUUAAGAAAAGAGCCAUCCUUCUUCUGGUUGGUUGCAUUCUCUCAAUUUUUUCUGGAUUAAAGAAUCUGAUACAAAACACAGGUUUGUAUAGCUGUAAUUCUGCUCUUAAAAAAUAGUUGCUUUCCACCACAAUGGACAAGCAAUGGAGAAUUCUGACAACUUGUAUGUUACUGAAGAGUUGGCUCUGAUGUGAGUGUCACUGUCGUUUAUGAUCUGUGACACUCAUCGCUUCAGCCAGAUCACACCAUUCCACACACAAAGCACUGGAGCAAAUAAUUUGAUUAAAGCAAUUGUCUAGUUUUGAAACAUGGCGGUUCUAACAGUGUCACUGGUUUAUUCUAGGGUUUGACUCCCCGAGUCAAUAAUUUUCUGUUGCACUGUAAAAAUCCCCGUUUCCCAUAGUAGGAUGCUGACUCUCGAGCCAUCGAAUGCAUGAGCCCAAGGGGUGCCUCCCACUGCUUCAGCAGGGAGCAGCCACUGAGCUGCCAAGGA